UAAGGAAUAUUGGACAAUGGGCGCAAGCCUGAUCCAGCCAUGCCGCGUGAAGGAUUAAGGUCCUCUGGAUUGUAAACUUCUUUUAUAAGGGACGAAAAAAGGGAAUUCUUUCUCACUUGACGGUACCUUAUGAAUAAGCACCGGCUAACUCCGUGCCGGCAGCCGCGGUAAUACGGAGGGUGCAAGCGUUAUCCGGAUUCACUGGGUUUAAAGGGUGCGUAGGCGGGUAUUUAAGUCAGUGGUGAAAUCCUAGAGCUUAACUCUAGAACUGCCAUUGAUACUAUUUAUCUUGAAUAUUGUGGAGGUAAGCGGAAUAUGUCAUGUAGCGGUGAAAUGCUUAGAUAUGACAUAGAACACCUAUUGCGAAGGCAGCUUACUACGCAUAUAUUGACGCUGAGGCACGAAAGCGUGGGGAUCAAACAG
rnacentral:rRNA from 1 species